AGGGAGGCUGCGCGCUGUCGCCUUGCGGUUCGUCGGGGACAAACGCCAUGCGCGCGUGCGGUUCCUGGCGGCGGCGGCGGUGGCUGUCGAUUUUCUUGUCGACCCUCGUGCCGACACGCUUGGCGCUCCAAAUCGACAAGACAUCAAGCAGGUCGAAGCGGACGUCGAGGCGGCCCGAGGCGCGUGCGAUGGCCUCUGACAUGCCCGAAAAGUAAUGCGCGCGCACAUCUUGCUCGAAUCGGUAUCCCACGAUGAGCGUGACUGAACCGCGCUCGCUGACAUCGGGCGGCCGGUCCAGGCCGUCGAAUCCCUCCCAGCGGUGAACGCACAGGCCGGCGACGCGCCUGUACGCCAAUCGCAACAGGCCCAAGGCGCGACGGGCGGCCAUGCGGAAUUCGGGCGACCCGCGCAGCGCGCCCGUGACACGCUUUGCGAGCCAGCGUGCGGCGGCAACGCGCGCGGCCACCGACACACCGUCUCGGGGCAUACAGUCCUCGAUGUAAAAGUCAAACACGCGCUCCAGGGGAAGAGAAAAGGCGGGCGACGUCCACGCGAGAAGAUCUGUUCUGCCGUCGUUCAUAUCGUUCAUGGUCGAUGCCUGCUUGCAUAUGUGUGUGCGUAUAUAUAUAUAUAAUUUUUGCUGCGAGAGCAGCGGUCGAGGCGAUGGUGCGUAGUUGGGCACACGCCCACUCGGAAAACACAGAAAAAAAAGCGACACGGAAAAAAGAG
rnacentral:lncRNA from 1 species